UACGAGGGGCCCAAACGUUAUUCGGAAUUACUGGGCUUAAAGAGUUCGUAGGCGGUUUGUCACGUCGGGUGUGAAAGCCCUCGGCUUAACCGAGGAAUUGCGCUCUAUACUGUCGUACUCGAGGAACCUAGAGGUGAGCAGAACAGAUGGUGUAGCGGUGAAAUGCGUUGAUAUCAUCUGGAAUACCGGAGGCGAAGGCGGCUCACUGGGGGUUAUCUGACGCUGAGGAACGAAAGCCAGGGUAGCGAACGGG
rnacentral:rRNA from 1 species